GAUGAAGAACGCAGCGAAAGUGCGAAACGUAAUGUGAAUUGCAGAAUUCAGUGAAUCAUCGAAUCUUUGAACGCACAUUGCGCCCCUUGGUAUCCCGAGGGGCAUGCCUGUUCGAGCGUCAUUUCACCACUCAAGCCUGGCUUGGUGUUGGGCGACGUCCUCUUUGGGGACGCGCCUCGAAACGCUCGGCGGCGUGGCACCGGCUUUAAGCGUAGCAGAAUCUUUCGCUUUGGAAGUCGGGGCCCCGUCUGCCGGAAGACCUGCUCGCAAGGUUGACCUCGGAUCAGGCAGGGAUACCCGCUGAACUUAAGCAUAUCAAUAAGCGGAGGA
rnacentral:misc_RNA from 1 species